GAUGAUAUAGCUCAAGUGGUAGAGCGCAUGCUUAGCAUGCAGGAGGCCCUGGGUUCAAUCCCCAGGACCUCCU
rnacentral:tRNA from 1 species